CUCAUAGGUGGGAGAUAAAAUAUACAUACUUACAAGACAUGUAUUAUAUAGUCAAACUAUGGAUCCAAAGUAACAAGUCAAUAAGUUUAAUCAAGAUGUGCAUGUGUGGCGAAUGAAUGGUGUAUGGUGAUGAUGGUGAUAACAAUAGUGGAAAUAAUGGUGGUGGAAGUCUAAUUCUACUUUGCUCUUUGAGGGGAUACAUACCUUCCUUGCUUUUUGAAACUUUAUGAGGAGAAUGAGAUGUUCUUCUUUUUUUUCUCAGGUGGGUAUCUUGCACCCCUAAUUCUACUGUCGGACACUUGUCCAUUUUUACCUCUCGUCUCACUUUUUCUUUUCUUUCGAGGUUCCGAGCACUUGCUCCUUUUUAUUUCCUCGUAUAUAUAUAUAUAUAUAUAUAUAUAUAUAUAUAUAUAUAUAUAUAUAUAUAUAUAUAUAUAUAUAUAUAUAUAUAUAUAUAUAUUUUUAGAGCACUCAUCUCUUGAGAUAAUAUAGCAAGUGGUAGUAACACGAUAACUUGAGCAUUUAUUUCACAAGGGGAAGAACAAAAAUAUUUUUGGUUAUUCUCUCCUGGAUUAGGAGUAGAAUAUUUUUGGGUGAUUCUGGAGAUGGAAUGGGUGGAUAUAUGUGGAUGGUACUUCCGGAGUAGAAGUAGCAUAUAUGAGUGAACGUGCAAGUGAAAUCUUGAUUUAACCACAUGACAAGCUCCUAAGGGUCUACACAGCUUGACCACACUCAAUGCUCAUAAGCAGUAAAUAGUAAAUGUGUGGCUCAAAAUCUAGCAAGCAUGUAUAUAUGGCUGUGGUAGGAAUUUAAACUCUCAUCAUACAGGAACUCAUCAUGCAACAUUUUAAAGAUUUUCAAAGAUAAAAUUCUCCAGAAUUCUAGCAUCUCUAAGAACAGAUAAACAGCAGCUCAACCUUCCCAUAUC
rnacentral:lncRNA from 1 species